rnacentral:rRNA from 1 species
CAGUAGCCGCGGGAAUACGUAGGUGGCAAGCGUUGUCCGGAAUUAUUGGGCGUAAAGGGCUCGCAGGCGGUUUCUUAAGUCUGAUGUGAAAGCCCCCGGCUCAACCGGGGAGAGUCAUUGGAAACUGGGAAACUUGAGUGCAGAAGAGGAGAGUGGAAUUCCACGUGUAGCGGUGAAAUGCGUAGAGAUGUGGAGGAACACCAGUGGCGAAGGCGACUCUCUGGUCUGUAACUGACGCUGAGGCUCGAAAGCGUGGGUAGCAAACAGGAUUAGAGACCCGUGUAGUCCCUGUCUCUUAUAC